rnacentral:tRNA from 1 species
CAUUAAGAAGCUAUGAACCAGCACUAGCCUUUUAAGCUAGAGACAGAGGACCACUCACCCUCCUUAAUGA